rnacentral:tRNA from 1 species
GUUGAUGUGGCAGAAAUAAUGUAUUUGAUUUAGAAUCAGAAUAUAAGCUUAAUAGCUUUGUCAAUU